GCUGUCCACUUCUUGCUGGCUCAGGCUGCUGCGUGGUACAUGCUGGCGGCUUUGGUGGCCGGGCGAGCCGCCGUCACCUGCUUGCUUGACUGAUUGGCUGUACACUGUUGUGGGGGCUGUCUACGCCCAAAGGUGGCCUGAAAAAAGUCGGCACACUUCACAAUUUCUCUCCCCUCCCCGCUGUCUCUUCUUUCUCUUUUGUAAUCCACACAAGGAAGGCAAUAACCUGGUGUGAAAUGUCAGUUACGAAAGUCGUCGCACAGCCACCUAAUAGCCGCGACUGGCUAUGCGUCAUCCUCAUCCAGACCACCAGCACGCGACACUACCACCACCACCACUACGACGACUACCACCACCACACAGACCAACACGCAGGGUGACGACAGCGAUGGCGAUCCGAGGCAUGCACGCCAUCAACACGCCGGGGCUCCUGGGUUGUUUUUUUUUUCUUUUAUUUAACCACCAACGACCAAGUCGCUGGCAAAAGGAAGAAGAAAAAUGUAUAUAUCCCUGUGUUCCAGACGUACAUAAACGUUUCCAUGCACUGUGUGUGGGUGUCUCGGGGAGAAUGAGCUGUUUGUGUGAGAGACACGCCGACACGUGAGCGCGGCGCCACGGUGCUCCCAGCUCAGGGGAUGGAAGCGGAGAGAGAGAAACGCGCUGGCUGGCAAAGCUGACUCGGCACAGGGCACGGCCCGACUCUCAUGAUAGGGGGCACAAUGACAAGCCUGGCCAGCCCUUCGCACGCACACGCACGCACACACCGCCGCCACCACCACCACCGCGGGAAAAGGUUGCCAGCACGCAGGCACGGACGCACGGACUGCCCCUUCAUCCCCUCUCCCCUCCCCCAACCUUGCCACCAGGCCAGGCACUGCGCUCAAACAAUGAAAGAGUCUGGUGAACUCUCAACCACAUGUGACCUUCAGACUUGUUUGGCAGGCCAGCUCACCAGGAAUGUCAAACACUGGGAAAUGAAUCCUUCUUCGCUUAUCCAAACUUGUCAGUAUCCUGGCCGCCUGCCAAAGCACAUGGCAAGGCAGAUGACAAGAGAGAGAGAGGGAGGGAAGAAAAGAAAGAAGCUGGCGCAGAUGAGAGCACGGCGUCCGCUCCUUGAGGACGGAAUGGCGGCCGACGUGUGGCCAUGUGGAGAUGUACUCCUCGUACCGCUCUCACACAACAGCUGCACCUGUGAGGCAGAGUGGCAGUGUGCUUGCCUACACUACAGUGACUUAUUCCUCCUUUUACUGGUCGGUGUUGUGUGCUUGCUAGGCAUGACAACGUAAGUAUCACGUUUUUGAAUUUUGAUGCGAGUUAAACAAGGAGAAGGGAGGAUGCUGGUGGAACUGUUGACGAUUCAGAAGACGACAGGGAGAGGUUGCAGGUGGGUGGGUGAGUGGGGGGCGCCCUGAUGGGGAAGGCUUGGCUCUCCCUCUCUCUCCCCCCCAGAAAGGAAAGACAUCGUGAGUCAGAUACUACGAUGCGAAAAGCAUGGCGUGCAGCUGACAGCAGUGAGGCGCGUGAAGUAGGCCAGCAUGCAGUGCAUACACAUGAUAGUGAGAGCGCGGACGGAAAACAGUUUGGCCCCUCACUUCUCCACAGGCCGCCUUAUCUCGCCAUGCACUCCACGCCUAUCAGCAGGCAAGAGCCGACCCAAAACACAGAAGGAAGCGGCACGUUGGCAGAGCUAGGGGCGGGGGUGAGAGGAGGGAGAGCUAAGUACACACGCUCUAAACAAGUCUAUUGUGUUGUUUAGGCAUGUGCAUGUGUGUGAGAGUUAUAUUCAAGGGUCAUAUUAGAUGCACUCCAGGUCACCGAAAUAGCUUCUGCUCGUUGUGAGUACCGAGCUGUACUCGUGUACAAACUUCUCCACCUUCAGUUUAAGGGUGGUAGCCAAGAGGAUGCCCAUUAAACACACUCCCACUCUUUGUUUUAUCAGGCCUUAGUGCCCAUCUUCAUUCUAUUUUAGUUAUCCACCCCACCGGUCAACAAGCAGCUGGCUGCCUACUGUUACAGUAGCGUGCAUAAGGAGGAGUGGUCUCACGAAUCACACACACAAAAAAAAAAAAUAAUAAAACCUUGUGUACAACUGUAGCGACCAACUCCAUCCACUAAGAGCCAUGCAAUCUGUGGCCUCGUCUGACUUAGUGCCGUGCCGUGUACCGCGCCACAAAACCUUUUUUCACGACUGCGGACUAGCGCUGACAUUUUCAAUCCCGUUGCUAGGGAACACCUGGCGUCAGGCAGGUAGGCAAAUUAAUGGAGGCGACGCUGGCUGGCGUCGUGACGGGAGCGGGCUGUGUCAACAUCACGCUUGAAGUCAAGAAUGGCCUCCAUCUAUAAAGUUUCUGGCACUAAAUACCAUCCGACACCUCGCAGGCAAGGAACAAUGAAGGAAGCCAGACACACAUCACCUCGCGCUCAGCAAACACUAGCAGACACAGUGACCUGACGGUGACCGCUGCAGACGACCGCAUGCUGCGACAGCCGGUACGCCUUACCUCCUGACGUCUCCAGUGGACGCUGGCCGUCAAGCGAGAGUGGGGCUGGGGGAGGGGGAGAGGCUAACAGAUGCCACCGCGGCCUCCAGAAGGUGAGUCAAAUGACACGGGGUAAAAGGUUAAAGGUGAAGACGCCAAUGGUUCUAUUACGGCCAUGUGUACAAGAUUUCCAAGGGGAGGGGGAGAAACGGAGGAUGGAGAGGGCGGCCCUGAACGCGUCUCGCACCCAACUGCAGCUUCUCUGGCCGUAGGAAUGCAAAAUAGGACUGUUUUACCUCCAUUCUGCGGUGAACGUCGACCCUCACACCCCUCACUCCACACCUAAAAGUUCAACACCAUCACCCUGAUAUGUCAACAUGACAAUACAAUAAAUCUUGGCCCAGGGCAAUUAGAACCACUGAUCAAACGCCGUACCAUGCCGUCCUAGUCAGCAGGAGAUAAGAUGUAUGGCAGGUCAUAGCGAUGCCAGUAGCAAGACGCCUAAACUGACAAAGGUCAAAGGUACAGCACGUCGAAGCAGUGACGCGGUGGGAACGUAAUUCCUGUCGCUCGGCAGCCGGGUAUCUGGUCUCAUUAUAGCAGUUAAUCAAAGCCAACGUAUGUACAAGCACAAUGAAACAAAGCGGGAAUCGCCUUCUAAAUCAUCUCAAAUUAAUAACAACCCUUUGAAACCUUCCUAACGAUAAUCCUGAGCAUCAGUCGGGCUCGGAAUUGUAUGUACAUAGACCCUGACUGGACACCAGAUACAGUACCGUUGGGGCAGUGUUUUGCUAACAUCUCGUGGCGACGUUUCUUGCCACCCCUCGGGAGACGAAGACGCAAAGCUAAAAUGAUAAACAAAAUACUUUGCAAUCUACCCCUAAGCAUUCUGAGAAGCUGAAUGGCUGGCCCACUGAGGAUCAAGACAAACAAUGAAGUCACUGGUUUUGAAGUAUUCACCAGACGGCUUAUUCCCUUUACAUCGAUUGAAAAACGUACUCUCGCACCCUGUACCGAGUUCACACCAGAUUAUCAACUAUCUGACGUGACCUGUGCUGGCGAUGAAGGUUACAAACAAAGGCCAGCCACCUUCUCCCAUGCCCCUCCCCUCAACAUCCUAAUGACGGCCACAGAGCAACGUGUUCACGGCAGACGUGACGUCUGGGGGACUGAAAGGUCUUGCAGCAAUCUGCUGGCUCUCAACAGACAACGACAAGAGGACACACCUGUUGCCUUAAGCAUUAUUUUGAUGCAUGUGUACAAAUUCUGCAUCCAUAAAAGAGAUUGGAGUUGUUUUUUUUAAUCUAGGGGUAAAGAUGCCAACAAGUGGGUUUUAUUGUGAAGCGGCGCGAAUGCCACCUGCCGUUUUCUCCCAGCACCACAGAGGCCACAGGCAGCGCCUCUUGCGUUUACUGACAGAUAUUCCAGCGUCACUGCUGCACCACUCUAGUCUGUGGCAGCCAGUCUACACCACCACCAGACACCACGAAUACUGCAGUCCCCCGCGAGACCACUUGAAGAGAAAGUGCACAAGUACUGGGUGCCGGUGUUUAGCGCUCACUCUCAUCAGUGCGCGUAGCCUGGCCUCUCUCUCCACCAGACUGGCAUGGACUGCGCUGUCGCCUUGUGACCAGACGUACGUCACAGGACCCACUGCGUCCGGCACAGCUGAUGUCUCAGCAUUCAGGACUCAAACGGCCACACACAGUAAUGACUAGCAUCACGAAGGGGGAAAACAACCACAAAGUGUAAUAACCGCGACCAAGAGAAUCCAAAUAAUUGGAUUCAUUGCCAAACUUCUAUCAUCUGCAACAGUCGUAGUAAAUGAUUAAUGUGAC